rnacentral:misc_RNA from 1 species
CUGAGUUAGGGUCCCUGUGGCCCGAUCUCCAACCCUUUGUAUAUACCACUUUGUUGCUUUGGCAGGCCCGCCCUUUCGGGGGCCGCUGGAGGUGUUUAGUCACUUCUGGUCAGUGCUUGCCAGUAGCCAAAUCAAAUUCUUCUAUAACAAUGAAGUCUGAAUCUUUAAUUAAAUAUAAUUA